AUCCCAGUUCGGAUUGCAGGCUGCAACCCGCCUGUAUGAAGUUGGAAUCGCUAGUAAUCGCGGAUCAGCAUGCCGCGGUGAAUACGUUCCCGGGCCUUGUACACACCGCCCGUCACACCAUGAGAGUCGGGAACACCCGAAGUCCGUAGCCUAACCGCAAGGAGGGCGCGGCCGAAGGUGGGUUCGAUAAUUGGGGUGAAGUCGUAACAAGGUAAC
rnacentral:rRNA from 1 species